GCAUCGGUCGCACCCCAGAAGUACUGCAGGACGUCUCCACCCCGGAAAUACGUGUCGUCGAGGUCCACGAACCAGCUCCCCGAGACGAUCUGCCCGCUCGCGAAGCGGGCGCUGUCGGCGUUCACGGUGAAGAAUCCGUUACCCCCGACCGUGUACGGAGCCGGGGCCUUGCCGGCGUGCGGGCCGGCAACGAUCGCGCCGUAGAGCCUGACCGAUGUCACGCCGCCGGCAUCGCGUCCGUCGAUGACGCCUUGGAGAUGAAUCGAAUCACCGGUUACGAGGUUCGGGAUACCCGUGUUGUUAUGUGCUACGUCAUUCCCGGUGCUGAAUGCGCAGACCCCAAAACGAUUGGCGCCAUCGGGAGAGAAAUGCUGGCCCGGGGUGAUGGCGUUCUGGACCG
rnacentral:misc_RNA from 1 species